UGUGAAUUGUAACUCAUUCCACUUGAACAUAUGUAGUAGUCUUGGUCUAAUGUGUGGUAACUAAUGCUGAAGGGGUGUGCAAUUUGGCCACGUUAUGGUUCCCAUAGCAACCAUAGUGAAAUUCUUGCCUGUAUUGCAUGUAAAAUCUCAGCCCUAACAGGUCAGUGUAGACCGCAUUUCAUUUCUUCUUCAUAAUGAGGACCAUGGAUCCUUGACAGUGGGACUCUCCUCUAUGCAGCCUUGGAGGAGGACCACAGGUGUCAGAGGCAGAGGUGGUGUGACUCCACCUCAGAAACCUCCUGCUUAGGUCUGGCUCUCCAGCUACAAGUAGGGAGACCAGCUACUCCCUGCUGCAGAGCAAAUUUAAGAAGAAAAAGCUUAACAUUUCUAGGCCAUGAGGAUCUGCCUUUAGUGUCGGAGAGGAUUACCUAGUCACAGGGAUGCCCUAUGCUCCCGCACAAGGAGCGCAGAAUGGCAGAGAAGGUGAAGAAGAGAGGGAAAGCCAGACACCAUGGCUCCUGCACCUCCCCCUCUGACUGAGGGCCUGCAUGGAGAUCUGUCUAUGCUGUGGAGACUCAGGCCCCUCUCGAGUGCUCAGGAAGAGGCAGGGUUUCCUGUAGCCUUCCUCCCAGGACUUCAAUAGGAAGUGCUCUCAGGAAGCAGUGGCAGCUCCUCAGCAGCGAAAUCCCCUCAGGCCUGGCAGAGGGAGAAGCAGUGGCCUUGGGAUUAGUAUAAGUGGCAGCUCCCCCAUUCCCCUCAUGUGGCGGGACAGGGGAACACAGGUUGAAACCCAAAAUCAAAGGUCCAAGGAAUCUUCCUGUUCCCAACCAGCCACUGGAGCCUGCACUUGCAGCCAUGAGUGACCGUGAAGCAGUUGCCCAGCCCUUCUCCCUGCUGCAGAGAUGGAGCUACUGACAGGGAUCCGGAGACACCAACGAGAGCCUGUUACACUAGGUCAUCUGCUGCAUCAGAGGCUAUUCCACAUGGUGCACUGGGCUGUGCGGGUUCACUACCAAUUCUCUACAGACCUACUGCAUCCUGCAGGGCAGGACAAGGGGGCAUAUUAGGAGUGAAGAUGUUCAAGCAGAGAUGCUCAUGCUGGACUCUAAACAAGCAAAGACCCCAUUCAAAAGUUAAAAAUGUACAGAGAGGAAAUAAGAGCCUACACGCUGACCCCCAGGCUCGUGGGUUUGUCUAGUGUCUUGCUAAAACCAGUCACCAGCUCCACCAUUACUGAUGUCAGGACCAAGUGUGAGAUAAUUAUAGCCUCUCCAGCUGACUACUGGACCUCUUAAUAUGCCCAAAGUGACUAAGGCUCCAGACUAACAUGGCUGCUACUCUGAAACCAGACUUAUCACAACUGCUUCACAACGUGAAGUUAUUACCAUAUACAACAGAAGGAGACAGCUGGACUUCUCCAUACCAGAGAGAUAUCUCCUGGCUAAAGUUAAUCUCUCCUAAUGAGGAUCCUGUAUACACCAAGCAUGAAAAUCACUCACAACAACCAACAGAGGAUAUAGGGAAGGGCUUCAACAUCUGCUGCUCCAUGCCUCGGGGCAUGGAGAAAGUAAAAGGAAAUGGUAGAGCCCUGAGGAGACAGAAACCGCAUUUCACUGAAAAAUGGAGGGGGUGAAGACAGCAAGUCACCUCUGGUAAGUAAUGUUAUAUGCCUGAUGCGGGGACCUUAAUCAUUGCAUGAAAAAUGAAGUGUACACAUGUGUUUAAGCUUGGGCUGAUGCCUGAGGAUUCUCUUAUUUAAAAAACACAUACCCUGUGGAUGUGAAAUGCUUUCUAAAACCAAACUAAGGGUCAGUGGGAUGCAUUCAGCACUGUAAAUCACUGCCUUCUCAAUGAAUACAGCCACGUGAGCCAGUGUAAGUGUCAGAUUUGUGGCAUGUAGGCAUAAUUAUAAUGUUGUUUACCCAAGUAAUGCUUUCGGCUGUAAAACUGGGUUUCACACACAUUAGGCCCAAGCCUGUAAAGUGAGCCAAUGAUCAAAAAAGUGUGCAAAUAUGAACAAGUUCCCUUGAACAGUCAGGCUUACAAAAGGGGUCUAAGUCCCAGGUGUACUUUAGUUUCUUGUAACGCAGAGAGCUAGCCAGCUGCCAGCUACAGUAAGUUACUUGAGGGAGAUGAACAGACACAGUCUGCUGUUUCUCCCCUAUCAAGUUUCGGUCAUCUGCAGCUAGAUUAUGUGAACCCUCUGUCCACUGCCCUGUUUGUGGGAAAUUUCACCACAUUUCCCCCUCUACGUUCCCUUGCAAAGACCUGCCUCAGAUGUGACAUGAGGGGAGAGAAGUCUAGCAGAAGUAGAGUUUUGGGGGUCUCAUGCAGGCAUACAAGGCUGUUCAGUAGGACCGCCCCAUGAAUUACAAUCACGAUGAGCCAGAUUUUCCCUAGUCCUUCUGCAGAUGCACAAGAAGAAGAGGGCACAAGUAGACCACAUUCUUCUUUGUACCUGACACAAGGACAAGGGAAAACUUGCAGUGCCUGCACUUGGGAUUACAGGGACUACUCCAUCCAAGCACUCCCAGCGGACACAAAUUCCCUUGUCGGAGUCAGGCAGGAAGGCACCCUUCUCCCACAGCAGCCCUCAGCGCAUGCUGCAUCAUCUAGAGAGGAAGCAGCGAGAGCACACACCUUGAGAAGGCGUCAGACGGGGGAUUCAGCUGGCCUGACAGGAUCCCCACCUUUGGUACUCUGGGAGGCAGUAUUAAAGGUGGAUUCCAGCCACUCCCAGAAAAUCAUCUGGCCAUCACCUGUAAACUGGGGUAUCCAUGGCCCCCCCACAUGUAGUAUGUCAUAGUCAUUGGAACAGAGCAGGCUGCCAGGACAAGGACAGUGUUGUGAGGGGUUGGCUGAGAGUUUCUCAAAGAUGUCCCUGACCUUCCAGCUACCUGUACCUCAGACACUGACCUCAGAGGUCCCUGCCUAACCUCCCCAAAUCCUGUUCCUGACACCAGCUGUCAGGUGGGAGAUUCCCUGAGUUGAAGAAGGGGUCCCAAGUCCCAGCCACAUGCCUCUUCACAAACACCAACCCUCUCUCCUAGGCGUCAGAGUUAACCCUGUAACAAGUACCACACUUAGAACAUUUAACCUAACCCAGGCAAAGUCAGGCGUAAACUCAGGAGAGGAUUCCUAGAAGGGGUUACACAGAGUUCCUUGCCCCGGUACAGCAUACAGCCUCCCCCCCACACACACACACACCUUGAUUAGCUAGGCACAUAGACUCUCCACCUCACAUCAGUUCAAACCCCCCUGGGUCAGUCUAACCUGUUCCUGUAUUCUGACACUGGUAUGCUCUGUGAGCUCAGAAUGGUGGGUCCAGCUGUGUGGGCUCUGCUGUCCUGUCAGCUCCAAACUGUGCAUCUGCGGGGGGUCCCCUUUGCUAUCACCAGUGCAGCAGUGAGUUCUCCUUUCAACAGCUCCCAGAUCAGAUUCAGCACCCUUACAUUUUGGUGUCUCUCUGCCCCAGUGUGGCAUCUGUGAUCUGGUCCUGCUGUAGCAGUUCAGGCCCUUUGUUCCCCCUCCUGCACUUACAGGCUAGUCCCUCUGUCCCAUCGCCCUCCUCCUCCCCAUCUGCUCAUUGACUGCUCAACUGGCUGUAGCCAGUUCUGUGUCCUUGUUCUGGAGUGGCACUUCCCCCAUCAACCAAUCAAGUUUUGUUGUUGGCGGGGGGGGGGCGGAGGGGCGGGAGAGUUCUACCCACUCCCACAGAGCGAUUGUGCCUCCAAGACCUACCUCUACCUCUAGAACUGUGAAGUUCUGCAUCACCUAUUAGCCAGGACUGUGACUAAAUGCCACAGCUAUCCCCAAGUAAUGAAGCAGUGCUCCAAUACCACAGUGAUGAGCAAAGUAUAAGCUCCUAGAUAAAUAGAAGUGAACACUUCCAAAUUUUGCCUAACUCAAUGAACUUUACUAAGUUACAAGCACAAUGUAACAUGUUUUCUACAUGGUUUGUGCCACGUAUAAUAUCAUGGUCAGUAUGUAGGAAACACUAACUGUCACAUCUCAAAGUUUUGAGUGACUUAUUCCCUUUUAAGGGUUUAGGAUCUGGAGCAGAAGCAGGCAAGCAGUCUAUAUUGUUGCUCAGACAGCUCCUCAUCAUGGCUUCCUGUUUUGUAUACUGGUAUCAGCCAAUCAGUGGGCUAUGGGGGGUUGCCACUCAGGCUCUGUAGUGCGGUACUUCCUGCCAAGCCUAGCUUUGCAGGGUCCUCCCAGGAAUGCCUUGUCUAAGGUUCUAGUGGUGAUGAUGUGGUGGUGUCAGGGACCCUGAAGAACCCCUGUGGUUGCAGGUUUUAGCUCUGCAGGUUCUUAUGUUCCCACUUGGUACCAACUAUGGGGAUUACUCUCUUACUCUACUGUGCUUCAUUGCCAUGAAGCAGUCAUGAUGAUAGGAAUGAUAUUGCAGGGCUUGUCGUAAACAGUUAAGUCAUGGGAAAAAUUAGAAGGGGCCACAGCUGAAAGCAGGUUCCUCAAUGGAUCUGCCAACCAGAGAGAUGAAGGAAGGUUUGCAAUUCUGAAAAAUGAAUUAGGCUAAAACCUGCAGUUGGGUACUGUGUGAGUGCCCUUCAGGAGAAAGCUUUUCAGAUGGUAGUCACUGCAAGAGGAGGCAAGAGCUUCAGCUCCAGUGGGGAAAGGAAAAGUAUCCUCCAAAAGCCAGCUGCAACAGAUAUGAAAGGUAUAGUCAGAAGGUUCCGUCCCAACCUACCUCCAGGAAUAUGUCGUAAGUUGGUUUUCUCUAUACAGACAUGUUACUCCAACCCUAGGGAGCUAGGAAUUCCAGGAGCUACAUGGUCCUUGAAGAGGGAGCGCUAGUUCCAAUAUUAAGAAUUGCUGGGGAGCUUAUUCACAUGUCCUCUCUUCCCCUGUCCAAAACAGGUUUGUGUCAUGCAGCUGGGAGCUUUUGGUGUGAUUUUUCCACUUUGGUCUUCUGUGGCUGGCCAGUCAUGGCUUGGUCAGCCUGCCAUGGAAUCAACAUCCAAGGGUGUCCAGAGCUAGUACAGCCCAGAAGGCCAAGGGUGUUUACAGAAGGGUCAAUUUGCAAAUAUACUGGUGGCUACUGUUUAAACAAAUUAAAAUGAUUGUGUCUCCUAGGAAGAUAAAGGACCAAAUUCAUCCGUGGUAUAAAUCCACCAAAGUUAAUGGAUGAAUUUGUCCCCCAAACUAUAAUUAUUUUAAAAAGUUAAUCUAGUCUGUACAUAUAACCAGGGUGCCACUGUGGCAGCAGCUUCCUCUGCUGCUACCCCAGAGCACGUGGAGAGGCUAAACACAAGAGUAGCUCUGCGGCUGCAAGAAAUGUUUAGAUACUAGAGUUUGUUUCUUCUUUAAAAAAGAAAGGAAAAACUAGGAAAUUUCAUUAAAAAAGCUGCCUGAAGAGAGUAUUGACCUUGCUUGUGUAAACACUAAAAAGUAAAGAAUAGCAAGGUUGGGGUUGUGCAUGCAACCUUAACUCCGCCCCAUGUUUGUAAACAUUGUACAAUCUUAAGUUACAUAACUGCAUAUGAUUUCACAAAUAAUGCAGUAUAGUAUACUUUUUUCCUUGGAAGACCUGGUGUAAGAUGGGCAGCAAUGGAUAUUGUAUUGCAUGGCUUGAAGCACCUCCCUGUGGUAUGCCUGUGGAAUCCAAUCUGCUUAUCACUGCUGGGCCAGCCAGGGCAGGAUUUAGUCCCUACAUUAUUAAAAUGGAUGUUUAUUUUACUCUGCAGAUGUUCAAAUGAUGUGCCUGCUUUAGCUCAUUUAGAGAGAAAUUCACUUUUAAUCAGUAUCACAGCUAACUCAGACAGAGCUUACAAAGGAUUUCUGUUUAAUGUCUGGGUGAAUUUUGUUGCCAUGUCACCCAGAAAAUACUUUGGAAGAUGAUAUCUUUACACAGCUGACAAGCUAUAAAUUCUCCCAUGCAGCCCUAUAUCUGUAUCAUCUUCCUACAAGUUAAUCAUAAACCCCCCACAGAUUUAUUUCACAUAUAAAAGCUUAAGAGAUUUUUGUAUUUAAUUGUGUGUUGACUUUAUAUAUAUAUAUAUAUAUAUAUAUAUAUAUAUAUAUAAUUAACCUUUUAUGAAUGAAGUCUAAUGGUUCAGUUAAAAAAAAAAAGACAAUCCUAUACUUUCCAUGGAGAACGUUGAACACAGAAGUGUUCUAUUCACACACCCAAGAAAAGCUAAUAAAGCAUCACAGGAAUCUAAAGAAGCAGUUUUAAUAAUUGUAUUGUAAAAAUUGUAGUGACACCACUGGCAAAGCUCAAUAUUACCAUACCAAAUGGGAUGGCUAACAAUUUCAUCACAUUACCUUCUUUGAAUCAUCCUGCUGCAAAUCAGACCAUGUUUCAAGAUGCAUCUCAUGAGACCUAGGAUAACCUUAUUACAGUGACCUCACUGAAUAAAAGAAAGCUUGUGAUUCAAAGGUUUCCUGUACAAGCACGAUCAGUCUAGGCGGGGGCGGGGUCAGAAGAAAACACUAGGUAGUAAAGUUGUAAGUGAUGUUACUGUUGCUUGAAAAAGACUAGCAAUAUAAAAUAGGCAUUCAUAGCAAAGAACAUUAUAAUGCCUCAGGCUCCCUUAGUACUCAGGUGGAACACAGAAUGUUGUCUUUUAUAAUUUUCCCACUGCUCUGGUAAAUCAGCAGUCUCAGGGAGAAUACACAAUCAGACUUCUUUGUACCAGACAGGUUCUUCAAGGAGACUCAUUUUCCAAUUUGAGAGCUCAAGUUACUGUCUCUUAAGGUCCAAUCCUGCAGUCUUUACUCAGGCAAAACUCCAUUAAAAUCAGUGUGGAGCAUUCUGUGGUCGAGCCCUUAGUUUCAAAGUACUUCAGGAUCACCUGAUGGAAGGUUCUAUAUAUGUGCAAUUAUUGGUGACAACGUAUCUUUGAGAUACAGAAGGAGAGAGCUAUAGAGGUCUAUAAAUGCAUUUCAAAGGGCAAGACUGUGAACAAAAAAUCUACCCCUUUUCGCCAGGGUGGACUUUGCCAUCAGAAUACAGGGUUCAGAGAAUACUUAACUUACUGCCAGAAGAAAUAAGAAAGACCACUAACCCAGCUGCAUUCAUGCAAAGCCCACUCCUUCACCCAAAAACUUUCCCAUGCUAAUACCAUCAUUUUCACUGAUUCAUUAAGAAAACAAACCAUCAAAGCUUCUAAGCAGUGGUGUAGAGGUAAAAAAGUGGGUAAACUAACCUUAAUUAAACUCCAUAUUCCCCAAAUGAGAAGUGAGUAAAUUCCAUUUACCCAUGUUUACCCUUGACUACACUACUGCCUCGAGAGCCAGCUGCAGCAUUUUGUUGUGGUACUUCACGGAAGGAAGAGAGAGAGCAUUGUCAUCUCUUAACUCACAAGAGGCACUCUCUUAAUAUUGUUAUACUGGAAGGUCUUAAAUGGCCCCCAUCAAUCACAGACCUGGAUGAAAUUUAUUGGGCACAAGCACCUCUUAUUCAGGCUAAAUGAAGGAGCAGUUAAAUGCCCCUUGGUGUAAUGAGAGCUGCUGAAACAAUAGGAACCACCAUCUAAAGAACUGGCCAGCAUGGCAGGGCAUGAGGAGAAGCUAGGCCACGUGGGCCAUGGGGUUUCCCUGAAGACUGAUUGCACACACAGGGGCUGGGACAUUGAUUUGGUUGCAGCUGUGUGUGCUAGAUAUGGGCUGCAUUUAAACUAUUCAGAAAGCUUUAGUUAGUACAGAACUCAGCAGCCCAACUUCCUUACCUGUGUCAGUUACAGAUCAUAUAUCACACCUGUUCUCCAAAGGCUGCACCAGCUUUCUAUUUGUUUCUGGGCAGGAAUUCAAGGUGUUGAGUUUAAUUUAAAAAUCCUUACAUGGCUUGGAUCAUGGGGUGGCUACCACCUGAGAAACCUCUUUAUCCCCAUGCUCUGUCAUAAUAGGAAAAGCACCCUACAGAAUCUCUGCUAAUACACCUAAAUCGUCAAAGGUAGUUAGGCAUCUAACGCCCAUUGAUUUCAAUAGGAGUUAGGCACCUAAAUACCUUUAAUGAUCUGGACCAUAGUUCCUAGAUUUGAGUAUCUGGGUACUGGAGUUGGGGCAUUCAUAACAAAGGGAACCUGACUGUUUCAGGCUUCUCUCAUAGGUCUACCAGCCCUAUGUGAUCUUCAGAGCAUGGUACAAGGUUCAUCCUAUUCAGUCUAGGCUUCUGCCUGAAUGUGUGUUUGGGGGCGGAGGGGAAGGGGCUGUAGGAGGAUUACGGAAUUAUUUGGGAGAGGAGUCAGUUUUAGUGUGAUAAUGUUAAUGAGUUGUUCUAAGAUAGUAUACCUAUCCUCCACAAUUUCACCCCAUGUUUUGUAUCUUCACUGACUUCUGACCAUCAUUUUUCUUGACCAAAUCAUUUGCAUGGCAAAAGGUGGGAUUCAAACUGCAUUUGUAUAUGUACAUGUAUAUUUGUGAUUUUGUCAUUUUCUAAAUUAUCAUCUGUCAUCAUCGUACAGUGGAGUAACACACAGUGCCUGAAGGGUAUGCUAGAUAUUCAACAGCUAUAUGACCCGUACUGCAUUGCUGACCACUCAGAUUUAUGUCUUUUUGGCUUGCUGCCUAAUUCCUAUAAUAUGCACAUAAUGUGCAACUGUUGGAUUCACUCUUUGAUGGGGUCAUGGUCUACCUUGGGAAAAGCUGCACAAGCAGGACCUGAUACUCCUCUGAUUUACAUCAGGGUUACAGUGCUGUAACUCCAUUGAUUGCAGCUGUGUUUACACCCCUGAUGUAAAGGAGUAACACACAAAAGCAAGAGAAGAAUGAUGCCUAGAAUGCUUAUGGGCGAUCCUCACCUCUUAUAAACAAUUUGAAAUUGCCAGGAGGUCUUCAUGAAUUUCGAAAAGUAGUAAAAUCUGCCGCUGCUAAUAAGUGUCAAGAUCUCAAUGUCUUAUUUAUCUCCCCUGCUUAUUCUAACAUAUGUUGUUCUGGUACACAGUGAUCAUAGGAAUUGCCAUAAGAUCACACUAGAUUUCCCAUGAAAAGAGCAGCAAACGAAGACCCCGAUUAAGCAAAACACUUAAGCAUGUAAGUAGCCCCAUUGACUUCAAUAUGAGUUAAACAUAUCUUUCAGUGCUUUUCCCCAAUAGUGUAGCUACAUGUUUGUGUUUUGCAGAACUGGAAUGGGACUGCUAAACCCAGGGUUGUGAGUUCAAUCCUUGAGGGGGCCAUUUAGGGAUCUGGGACAAAAAUUGGGAAUUGGUCCUGCUUUGAGCAGGGGGUUGGACUAGAUGACCUCCUGAGGUCCCUUCCAACCCUGAUAUUCUAUGAUUCUACUUAACUGCUUAAAGGAAAGCAUGUGCUUAAGUGCUUUGCUUAAUCAAGGCUUAACUGAGCCUAAAUACCAAUGGUCAGUAAUGCAAUGUGGUGAACAGAGCUGUGGGGUUCCUUGUAAUAACUCCAUUCUACUGAGUAGAGGAAAGUAGUGUUAUCAUAAGGUUUGGUAAUACCAUAAGAUUCUCACAGCCAUCUGUAAAAUUGUAACAUGCAGCAAUUUCACAAGAAGAGGACAAAUUUGAGGCAACAUGUAGUGGCUGUUGACAAAGCAGUUGCACAGGAGAAAGUUCCCACAGAAGAAGUGUCACUGUCAUUAUUUUUCCCAGAAUAUUCAUCAGCCAAAUAUUGCCAGACUCUUGUAUUACAGGAAGGGGCAGACUAACUUGUCAGAGGUGUUUGCUGUCAUAAAAAUUGGUAAAAUGAUCAUCUAUGUGCAUUAACUGUUUAAAGAGCCUAUUGAUUUUCUUAAAAACAUGCUAUCUCUAAUCCAGCUGUAAUAGCUUUAGCCUUUAAAAAAAUAAACUAAACCGAAAUACUUCUAAACUCAAACUUUGAUCCCCUGCUUGGCUGCAUGCUAUUUCUAAACUGUCGGACUAACCAUUGGCAGAUUUAAUGACUGUUUUAAACUUGGGCCUAAUUUCAAAAGAUCACAAUAAAUCCACAGAAUGACUAAACCAAAAGAACUUUUGAGAGGAUAAAUUGUACAAUAUUACAUUCUUCCUAUUAUUUUAAAUUUAUUUUACCAGAAUGUUUGCAGUACCAGGUCCCCACCUAAUUAGCAGUAUACAGUUUAAAUGCUAAGUGACUUUCAGUUUCUUAUUUACUUUAUUUUCACAGCAUGAUACAAUAAAAAUUAACCUCUCAGCACAUGAAUUUGUUAAUAUUUACCUUAAACAACAUAAAUGAUCACACAUUAUACCUGGAUGUCUUCUGCACUAUUGGAAUGUGUACAAAGGAAGUCUAACAUAAUUACUGUUUGAAUCUGUUUUUUAAAGGUACUAUGAAAAUAAUGGCUAUAUACUUGUACAGUGAAAUGUAAUGCUACUUUGUACUAAAUGUUAUUUUCCAAUACAAUGUUAUGAUUGCAUCUUUAAA